GAUGAACGCUGACAGAAUGCUUAACACAUGCAAGUCUACUUGAACUUCGGUUUGGGUGGCGGACGGGUGAGUAACGCGUAAAGAACUUGCCUCACAGAUAGGGACAACAUUUGGAAACGAAUGCUAAUACCUGAUAUUAUGAUUUUAGGGCAUCCUAGAAUUAUGAAAGCUAUAUGCACUGUGGGAGAGCUUUGCGUCCCAUUAGCUAGUUGGAGAGGUAACGGCUCACCAAGGCGAUGAUGGGUAGCCGGCCUGAGAGGGUGAUCGGCCACAAGGGGACUGAGACACGGCCCUUACUCCUACGGGAGGCAGCAGUGGGGAAUAUUGGACAAUGGACCAAGAGUCUGAUCCAGCAAUUCUGUGUGCACGAUGAAGUUUUUCGGAAUGUAAAGUGCUUUCAGUUGGGAAGAAAAAAAUGACGGUACCAACAGAAGAAGUGACGGCUAAAUACGUG
rnacentral:rRNA from 1 species